rnacentral:rRNA from 1 species
UACGAAGGGUGCUAGCGUUGUUCGGAAUCACUGGGCGUAAAGCGCGCGUAGGCGGCGACACAAGUCAGAGGUGAAAUCCCAGAGCUUAACUCUGGAACUGCCUUUGAAACUGUGUUGCUAGAGUACUGGAGGGGAGCGGGGAAUUCCUAAUGUAGAGGUGAAAUUCGUAGAUAUUAGGAGGAACACCGGUGGCGAAGGCGCCGCUCUGGACAGUAACUGACGCUGAGGCGCGAAAGCGUGGGGAUCAAACAGG